AACUUUCAACAACGGAUCUCUUGGCUCUUGCAUCNAUGAAGAACGCAGCGAAAUGCGAUAAGUAAUGUGAAUUGCAGAAUUCAGUGAAUCAUCGAAUCUUUGAACGCACCUUGCGCCUUUUGGUAUUCCGAAAGGCAUGCCUGUUUGAGUGUC
rnacentral:rRNA from 1 species